AGAAGAACGUGACCAUCGACACAGCUGCACUGUGACGAGCGGAAAGUUACGGUCGCGGGAAAAUACAACAAAAGUGUCCUUCUGGCCACCACUGAAGCAGUUUUCGACAUCACCACGCUGAGAGAGACUUGGAUAGGAAUAAAAAUCCCUCAAGAAAGACAACUGACACACAGAAAAUUAAGGACAUGCAGUGCUACACAAAUCCAUCAAAAGAGGAACCCGGGUGUUUUGCAUUUGUCAGAUGGGAGGAUGGUUAUACCGGCAAAAUCUUUACAGAGCUGCCAUUUUGAAAAGGGAUGAGGCUCCAGUACAGCUGCAAGAUCUUCGACCAGGAGAUCCUGUUUUAGCAAAAUGGUCAGAUGGUGCUGAACCAUCAUUUGCCCUUGCAUGUUCCUAUUUGAUGCACUUUUUGAUCACUUUUUCCUGAUUGGAGUGUCAAAAUGCUAUCCCCUUCGGUCAUGCUGGCAUCAGCGCCCCAGAAAAGGGGGUCCUUGACCAGAAAAAAGUCACAGGAAUCAUGAGUACGCCAUUCCCAGAGAAUGAAUGAUACACCACUGAGACCAUGGGUUAUUUCUUCCUUAGAAGGAUCGGUUGAAUGUGCACACUGUGAUUGUAUGGCUGGACUUGGAGAGGUUUGCUGUCAUGUUGGGUCAUUGUUGUUCUGGGUGGAUGAGAACUACCGUGCCAACAAAGCUCUAACAGUGACCCAGAAGAAAGCUUACUGGCCAGUACCAUCCUAUGUUGACAAGGUGGCAUAUUCAGAGAUUCAGGACAUCGACUUUACAUCAACAGAGGUUAGGAAACGCGAGUUUGAAUGUACCCUGAUUGGAGCUCAAACACCAAAGCGAAUGCCCCUGAAGAUGCCGCUAGUCCCAGAGCCCACAGAGGAAGAGAUGUCUUGUUUUGCCAGGAAACUAUCGAAUACAGGAGUUAAGCCUGCAGUGCUGGCGGUUAUUUCAGAUCACCAGGAAAUCUACAUUCCAGAGAUUCUGAAAGAAGAAAAACUUCCCGUGAACAUAGAGGACAUGGAUAACUAUCAAAAAUGUUCUUGAGACGGUUGAUGCAGAAAUCUGAAAUCUAAAUGCAAGGUCCUGAAUGGGAAGGUUCAAUUUAAGGCGCAUUAGUGUCAUAAUUAGACGCUCAAACUGUCCAAGUUCACCAUUUCCACGAGGUUUAGGAAUGUACUGUUUAACAAAGUCAAAAAGAGUCAUUAGCACUAGAUAAUUUGGAAGACCAGUGUAGUAUUUUACUUUAUCAUUCUGAUUUUCAAAACACUUUUCAUUCAUUUUCAUACCAGCUAAUUGUCCUUUUAACAUGAUAUUCUCUGUAAUCAGCCUCUGGAGUUCACUCUUGGCAGCACUGCUACAACUCGCACAUGGUUGUGUAGGCUCUGGAUCAUUUUCUGCAGGUUCCUCCAAACUGCCAAGUAUCAUGAACUGACACACCUCUUUCGGAUCUUGUUCAAUGGGAGUGAAAUCUGCAUCCCCGUUACUGCUCAGCUCCAGCAAUGCUCUAGCAACAAGGUGCUUGUCCUUUGUGCGCUCUCUUUCUCUGACUCUCUCAUACCUGUAAGUACAUAAAAUAUUCGUUAUUGCACAUUUCCAUUUAAAAUAUAGUAUUCAAAAACACAGUGUUACUGGUCAGUGCUGAAAUAGAUAGACAAUCAUAAUGCCUUGGUAUGAAAUUGACUGCUGAUUUUCCUGUCAUGAUGUUGUCAUGUUUUCUCAAUAUGAUCUAUCUAUCUAUGAAGCCUAAUAAAUAUUGAUACAUCACAUACUUUUUGUAUGACGGACAAACCGGUGACUAUUAUGCUCUUGGGGGAAAAUGUUGUACUACU